CGGGGCGGGUGGAUGGUGGUGAGGGGACGGCUUUUGGGGUCCGGCUGUACGUUGGGGCGGAGGGAAGGCUUCUCCGAAGCGCUUCGGUCGGAAGAGCUCGGCAUUUGUGAAGGUACCGGCUGCUAACGGGAGGCCUGCCCGGGGGUGUCCCCUUCCCGCCGCCGUCCCUCCCGGGGGCGGCCGGGGUGCGCCAGCACGCCGCGGGGACCUGUGCGUGCUCGGCGUUAGCCCCGAAUGCCCUUUCACUGGACAAUAAACGCCGGUUUUGAGAGGGGAAGGGGAAAAAAAAGCCACGUUGGUUAGGCACGGCGAUAUUACAGCACCCAUCUUGGCUUCCUCGUGUCCUUACAAAAAUAUCCUGAAUAUUACACACCUGGUUGUACGCAGGCUUUUUAAGACGUUGCCCGAGGUUACCAAUUCGACGUGGUUGAGGUGGUGGAGAUGUGUCAGACCGUUUCUGCUACACGCACUUGGAAAGGGACGAGAGCAGAGAGUACUCCCUCGUAUGGUAAAGCGUCUUGUGUCAGUGAGAUGUCAUCCCACAACUGAGCAAACAGCAAGAUGUGAAUUUAAAACAUACAGUAUACUUUUCUUCUACAUUAACGGACUGUUUGCACACAAGAACUGACAGCAGCACAGAUUUGAUAUCAAGUCCUUCCCUCAAACGUUGUAUUUAAAUUCAGAAUCUCUUUUGUUGCUCUUGGAGAAAAAUACUGAAUAAGGGUCCAGGAACUUUUGGUUUUUUUUUUUUACAGUGAACUGAAGUUUCAAUUUGUCUUAUAAUGACAUAUUUUAUUCCCUAAACCAAGGCAAGUGUUUUAACAUGCAUAUAGAAGACAACUGAAAGAGCUGUAUCACCUGUGAUUAAAUUUAACCAAAACUACUAUUACACCCCCCCCAUCUUUUUUAGAUUUUAUUGUUUAUGUUUGCAUUUAUUUCAUGGACAGUAUUUACCUACAGCACAUCACUUCCCAGUUUACACUGAAUAUAAUUUCCCAUUUCCCAGUAUCAAUAGUAAUGCUACAGGGCAAUGGGAAGGAAGCGUAUCAUGGGGCAGGAAUUCCAAAGGUUUCAAAUGAAUAAAAGGCAAGUGAAGAAACAGUGGAAGAACCAGGUGCUGUCUAUGGAUGACAGGACAGCAGCUGCAUGCCAGCAGACAAGAAUAAUAAGGAAGAAAUGCUUAUCAGGGAUAAAGAGCUGGCUUUUUCACAAGCAUGCUGUACUGUAGCACUGUAUGUUGGGAAUUCAAAUAUUAUCUGGCAUGUCCAGCAUUUCUGAAAACAAAACACUCAUCCAAUUGCCCUGCAUAACCAUUUGAAAAAGGGU